GGGCCUGUAGCUCAGUUGGUAGAGCACCGCGUUUACACCGCGGCUGUCGUCGGUUCGAGCCCGGCCGGGCCCACCA
rnacentral:tRNA from 1 species